UUGGACAUCGUGAGGUUAGUGCAAUGGCAUAAGCCCGCUUGACUGCGAGAAUGACAAUUCGAGCAGGUGCGAAAGCAGGUCAUAGUGAUCCGGUGGUUCUGAAUGGAAGGGCCAUCGCUCAACGGAUAAAAGGUACUCCGGGGAUAACAGGCUGAUACCGCCCAAGAGUUCAUAUCGACGGCGGUGUUUGGCACCUCGAUGUCGGCUCAUCACAUCCUGGGGCUGAAGUCGGUCCCAAGGGUAUGGCUGUUCGCCAUUUAAAGUGGUACGCGAGCUGGGUUUAGAACGUCGUGAGACAGUUCGGUCCCUAUCUGCCGUGGGCGUUGGAAGAUUGAAGGGGGCUGCUCCUAGUACGAGAGGACCGGAGUGGACGAACCUCUGGUGUUCGGGUUGUGUCGCCAGACGCAUUGCCCGGUAGCUAAGUUCGGAAUCGAUAACCGCUGAAAGCAUCUAAGCGGGAAGCGAGCCCUGAGAUGAGUCUUCCCUGAUACUUUAAGUAUCCUAAAGGGUUGUCGGAGACUACGACGUUGAUAGGUCAGGUGUGUAAGUGCUGUGAGGCAUUGAGCUAACUGAUACUAAUUGCCCGUGAGGCUUAACCAUACAACACCCAAGGGGUUU
rnacentral:rRNA from 1 species